AAGUGUCAACAACGGAUCUCUUGGCUCUCGCAUCGAUGAAGAACGCAGCGAAAUGCGAUAAGUAAUGUGAAUUGCAGAAUUCAGUGAAUCAUCGAAUCUUUGAACGCACCUUGCGCUCCUUGGUAUUCCUUGGAGCAUGCCUGUUUGAGUAUCAU
rnacentral:rRNA from 1 species